GUCUUUUCUUGAUAAAAAGUUUGUCUUCUUUGAUAUUAUGCAUCUAUGCUUUAAAAAAAAAAGUUUUUCUUUUUAAAUGUUUAUCUUCCCACCCAGGCCGUCACCGAUGGGUUGUAUAUACUACUGAAAUGAAUGGCAAAAACACAUUCUGGGAUGUGGAUGGAAGCAUGGUGCCUCCUGAAUGGCAUCAUUGGCUUCACAGUAUAACUGAUGAUCCUCCAACAACAAAACCACUUACUGCUCGUAAAUUCAUUUGGACAAACCAUAAAUUCAACGUGACUGGCACCCCAGAACAAUAUGUACCUUAUUCUACCACUAGAAAGAAGAUUCAGGAGUGGAUCCCACCUUCAACACCUUACAAGUAAAGACAAUGAAGAACAGUUGAAACAUGCAAAAUAUGGAGCUUUUCAUGUAAUUACUCUUUUACUGUUUACCAUUCACUAUAAUUCACAAUUAAAAUUGUGUGACUAAA
rnacentral:sRNA from 1 species